UACGUAGGGCGCAAGCGUUAUCCGGAAUUAUUGGGCGUAAAGAGCUCGUAGGCGGUUUGUCGCGUCGGGAGUGAAAACUCAGGGCUUAACCCUGAGCCUGCUUCCGAUACGGGCAGACUAGAGGUAUGCAGGGGAGAACGGAAUUCCUGGUGUAGCGGUGAAAUGCGCAGAUAUCAGGAGGAACACCGGUGGCGAAGGCGGGUCUCUGGGCCGAUACUGACGCUGAGGAGCGAAAGCGUGGGGAGCGAACAGG
rnacentral:rRNA from 1 species